UUAAAAUGCUAAAAUGGGCUGCAGAGAUGUUCCCCUCAACACUGCAGAAGAGAGGAGAACUUGGGAAAUAGACCAUACUGUUUUCCAGCCAGCCUUUUGAAUGGCCUCUUGCUGGUUCUUCAGAGGCAAGGCAGAGGCUUGAGAAUGCUAAUGCUUAUUUUAGUGUGGUGUGUAGGUGUGUUAGGUGUAGGGAGGCAGGGUUGGGAAGUAGAAGGUCAAGGUAUGUUAAUGGUUCUAAACUGGCCAAUUUUUCUGUCUUUAGGUAUAAAGUUGCUUUAAACUAGACUCUCUUCUCUGGAGCUCCUUCCUUAUUCUGCUAAGUUAAUGACAGACCUGGCUGUGGUAAUAUCUUAAUCACUAUAAUUCCUUCCUUCUUUAUUAUCUGGCACCAAGAAGUUCAUGUCAGGCCUGAUAAUAACCUACUUUAAUUAUUUUGGAACUCUUUCCUUCCCCCAGUUUUUUGAUGACUCUACGUCUUCUUCCUCUCCUCACUCUUCUAUUUUCUCCUCCUGAUUUUUCCUGUCUUAGCCCUGCCUCCUGCCUACCUUUUCUCCCACCCUCUCUUCACCCUUCCUCCUCCCCUCGUGCUUCCCCUUUCCUAUUUCUCCCCCUCUGUAGCCAGUCUUUCCUUCCUUCUCUCGGAUCCUCCUCCUCUCGAUUAGGCUUUCUUCUCUUUUCUUAAAAUUUUUGGUUAAGCUUUCUCAUUGUUAGUAGGUUACUGGUUUUUAGGGACCUUCUGCUGUGUUUGUGAGGUCCAAACAUUGUUUUCUACCUAACUCACUUGCUUCUAGCUUUUACCUCCAAAUUCUAUCUUCCCCAAAUACCAUUCUCUCUCCUUACUGCCUCUAUGCUUUGCCUUGGGCCUGCCAACAAGCAAUUCUUCUUCCUGCAUUUGUUUCCUGUCUUCUUUUCUGGUGGUGGUGGGGCAGCAGGUAGGCAGUAGGUAAUAAGCAAGAUGGGAAGUGGGGGGCUUGAGUGGGAGGAGAGCAAAAAUGUCAAGUAGUGUUGGGCAGAGGUUCAAGUUCCCUUUAGUGAGAUGAAUGACUGGGAGGACCAGAGACUCUGGCAGCUGUGAGGUAGUGCUGAUCUGGAGAAAAGGAGGUAGCCCAGGGAAGAAGAGGGAGGAUAGCAGGAUAGAGGGACAGGAGGAGGAGGAGGAGGCCUGGGGGAGAAGACAGUGCUCUUUGAAAAAGACGGUAGCCUGGACAAGAUAGGGGUUAUUUGGGGUCAGGGUAUAUGUAGAAAGAGAAAGAUUAUAGUGUGGGGAAGAGGACUAUGUAGGUUAAUUAUCUUCCCCUUUGCUGACCGGCUUUUUGGACUGAUUUCUACUCAGCAAAUUUUUUUUAGUUAAAAAAUGUGAAAGCAUUUACCAUGUUUAUCAUGUUUAAGUGUACAGUUCCAUUUUAAUAAGGACAUUUAUAUCCUUUUCUCCUUCUUCAUCCUCACCACUCCCUUUCCUGGCCUUUGGUAACCACCAGUCUACUCUAUCAUCAUGAGAUACACUUUUUUACCUUCCAUAUAUGAGUGAGAACAUGUGAUAUUUGUCUUCCUGUACCUGACAAAAUGGCCUCCAAUGUCAUCUAUGUUGCUGAAAAUGACAGGAUUUCAUUCUUUUUUUAUGACUGAAUAAUAUUCCAUUGUGUUACAUGUGUAACACACACACACACACACACAUUUUCAUUUUAGCUUUUAUGAAUAGUGCCACAGUAUUCAUGGGAGUGCGUUAUCUCCUUCAUAUAUUGAUUUCCUUUCUUUUAGAUAUAUACCCAAUAGUGGAAUUGCUGAAUCAUAUGGUAGUUCUAUUUUUAGUUUUUUAGGAACUUCCAUACUAUUCUCCUUAGUGGCUCUACUAAUUCACAUUUUCACUGACAGCAUAUGAGGGUUCUUCUUUCUCUCCAUCCUUGCCAUCAUCUAUUAUUGCCUAUCUUUUUCUUUCUUUUUUUUCAGACAGGGUCUUGCUCUGUUGCCCAGGCUGGAGUGCUAUGGCACAAUCAUAGCCUCCUGCAACUUCAACCUCCCAGGUUCCAGCAGUUCUCCUACCUUAACCUCUCAAGUAGUUGGGACUGCAGGCACAUGCCAACAUGCCUAGUUAAUUAAAAAAAUAAAUAAAUUUUUUUCUUAGAGGUGUGGUCUCCCUAUGGUGCCCAAGCUGGUCAUGAAUUCCUGGGCUCAAGUGAUCUGCCUGUCUUGGCCUCCGAAAGUGUUGGGAUUACAGGCGUGAGCCAACAUACCCAGCCUCUGCCUGUUUUUUUGAUAUAAGCCAUUUUUACUGGAGUGAGAUGAUACCACAUUGUGGUGUUGAUUUGCAUUUCUCUGAUGGUUGAGCAUUUUUUUCAUGUACCUGUUGGCUGUUUAUAUGUCUUUUUUUGAAAAAUGUCCAUUCAUAUCUUUGACUGUUUUAAAAUUGGGUUACUUGUUUUUUUGCUAUUAAGUUGUUUGAGCUUCUUAAAUAUUCUGUUUAUUAAUCUUUGUCAGAUGAAUAGCCUACAAAUAUUUUCUCCUAUUUUGUGGGUUGUCUCUUCACUUUGUUAAUCAACAAAAUUUCUGUGAGCAGUGUCCUUAAAGUGGGGGAAUUAGAGGGAAAGCAGAGAUGAGAAUGACAAGGUUGCUGGUUUAUUGGUACUCACUGUCUACACUAGAAUGUGGAAUGUAUUUAUAUAAAAAAAGCUUUGAAUAUUGCAUCCAUCCAUUAUCAAAUAUCUCUGAACCAUCAUAACUAAGCUAGUUAUGGUACUAGGUUCCUAGGUAUACAAAAAUUGAAAUUGUACUCAGUUGCUGCCCUCAAAUGCAGGUCAAGGAAUAUGGAAUCUCAUGUGGUAAGUAUUGUAGAAGGAAGCACAAGGGGCUGUGAUAAUGCAGAAGGCACAUUUGAUUUAGCAAGACAGAGCUAGGACCUAAACUUAAGUCUUCUCUAAAGGUGAUAUCUAUUUUCUUAUCCUCUGUUAUCUCCUGAGUUUGUGUAUACAUACGGUGUACAAAAGAGUUUUCCUGUAUCUUCUUUUCUGCCUACUUUUGGGGCUAGACUGUAGGUACUGCUGACAUGAAAAAAAGAACAAUCUCAUGUGGUAGGUCUCUGUGCCAUGGCCAAACAAACACUCAUUACCUUGGAAGGGAAAAGGCUUUUUCCCUGUUAACUUCUGGCUUGAGGCUACUUGGGUGACUAUGUGCUGAGCUCCCUUUACGAGUCAUUUGAUCUCUUCCUUCCCUUCUUCCCCUCUCCAUUUUCUUAAAUUCAAUUUCUGGCAGGCUGUAGAGUUCAGAGGUCAGAUGCAGCUAGGCUAGGCAUUUUUACUUCCACUGGCCUCUGUAGGAUAGGGAUUUAAUGCCUCAUAGGGUUGGCGAGGAUCAGAUGAAAUAAUGAAUGUGUGAAAAUGCUUUGUAAAAUGCUAUAUAGAUGUUAUUGUGGUUGUUCCUGAAUGCAUUUUCAAGCUGUGAAAAAAUGCUCAGAUGCUAUAGCCUGAAAACCUAGGGUUGCCACUGACAGGCAAGAGUAGGCACUCAAUAUGGACACCAAGAUUUACUAGACCCUUUCUUUGCCCUCAAAAAACUCACAGACUAAUGGGAGAGGAUUGAGCCUCAAUCCUUGAUGAGUAAUGGAAAAGGGGUGGGGUAGAUAGGGCUUUAGAGACUAGUGAUUGAGCUUCAUGGUCAGAGACCACGAAGUAUGUGCCUUAUUUAAGGUCAUACAGAGAGUAGGUGGCAAUUAUAAAUGAUAUUUUAAUGACUUCUUAUGAUGUAACAACAAAAACGGGAGGGAGCACUUAAAAGUAGAUUUUUAAGACUUCAGUUCAAAUUCUGGUUCUACCACUUACUGGUUACUUGAUUUUUAAUUUUUUUAAGCUUCAUAUAUAAAAAUGGAAGAUAUUUAUACCUACUUUGAAGGGUUAUUAUAAAGCUUAAAAAUAAUUAUAUAAUAAAAGAAAAAUAAUUAUAUAGUAGGCACUUACUAGCUAUACUUACUCCACAAGUCCCCUGACUCCUGAGGCCCCCUCUUCCGGAUUCAUGCAGCACCUAUAUCUUUCCUGUCACCACCCAGUAAUGGCAGUUAUCAUUUUGUAUUGUUAUUGUGGUUAAUAUCUGCUUUUCCCAGUAGUCUGUGAGACUUUUGAGGUCAGAGACAGGGUCUAGUAAAUUGGUGUCUAUACUGGGUGUUUACUCUUUUAUUUCCUUUGAAAUAGGGUCUCACUCUGUUGCCCAGCCUAGGGUGUAGUGGCACAAUCUCAGCUGAUUUACUUAAGCCUUGACCUUUUGGCUUAAGCAAUCCUCCCAUCUCAGCCUCCAGAGUAGCUGGGACUACUGGUGGUGUGUGCCACCACACCUGGCUACUGUUUGUAUUUUUUGUAGAGACAGGAUUUUACCGCAUUGCCUAGGCUGGUCUGAAACUUCUGAGCUCAAGUGAUCCACCCACCCCAGCCUCCCAGAGUGCUGGGAUUACAGGUGCACCUGGCCCUGAGUAUGUACGCUUGCCAAGUCCUAUUUAGUUAUCAAGUAUACACUGGUAAGUCUGCUGUGCUUACUGGUGUAUACUUAGCAACUAAAUAGGACUUGGCAAGAGUAAACUCUUUUACAAAGCUUAUUAUUGCUCCUUUACAAAGCUUAUCAUUUAUUAAGGAAGAUGUAUAAUAAGUAAACAGAUAUAAGUACAACUCAUGAUGAUGCUGUGAAAACCAGGAAUUCCAUUUGGUUUUGUUAGAUUUGAGAUACUGAUGAGAAACACAGGUGGAGUUGUCUAAUAGAUAGUUUUUAGGCUAAAAGAGAGCUGUUUUGUCUAGAGACCAAAACUUGGACAUCAUCAAUAUAUUAAUAAUAUGUAAAGCCAUGAGAAUGGAGGAAAUAAUCUUGGGGAAAGUGUAGUAUAUCAGUAAGGAAGAUUCCGAGCAAGGAAGGUUCCAAGUCUUGGAUGUGUGGAUGAUAGCUGGAGAAGGAGGAUUCUGCAAAGGAGAUAGGAGUAGACAAAAAGAUAGAAGGAAAACCAAGUGAGUGUUCUUCCCUAGAGUAUUUGAAAGAGAAGAGAGGUCAAUUACAUUGAAUGCUGCAAAGAUACUGAGUAAGGUGAGGAUGGAAAAUGCGCAUUUGAUUUGGCAAAAUGGGGAUAACUGAUAAUCUUGACAAGACUGCUUUUGAUGAAAUGGUAAAUUGUUAGUUGGCAAACCGAAGGGGAAGAAGUGGAGAUAGUUUAAGUAGACUGUUCUUUUGAGAAGUUUUAUUACAAAAGGGAGCAGAGAAAUAAGUGGUAUUUGGAGGAAGAUUUGGGUGUUAAGGGAGGGGUGUGUGUGUGUGUGUGUGUGUGUGUCUGUCUGUCUGUUUGUCUGUCUGUCUCUCUGUCUUUGAAUAGGAGACACCAAAGCUUGUUUAUAUUCACUCAGUAUUUCUCAGAUCAGUCCAGAAAUUUAAGUAUCAUCUUAAUUUUUCCUUUUUUAUUACAUGCUAUAUCUAGUCUUUAAACCAUUUGAUUCUACCUUCAAAAUGUAUCUGCCUUUGACUUCUCUCCCCCUAUUGCCAGUCAUCUGAGCCACCAUUAGUUCUUACCUGGAUUAUUGUAAUAACGCCCUAAUGGUCUCUCCACUUCUGCAUUGUUUCCUUGCCGCCUAUUCUCCUCUGCUGCUAGAGCGGUCUAUUUAAAAACAUAGAUCAGUGCUCAAAACCCUUCAGUGUCUUCCCACACUUGCUGCAAAAGCCAAAUUGUGGCCUAUAAAUAGUUCUGCACAAUCUGACCUCUGGCUACAUCUACGUCUCUUACCACCUUUCUCUUUGUUUACUCAACUUUAGUCUUGCCAAUCUUUUUGCUGUUCUAUGUGUCCAGUAUAUUCUCAUCUAAGACAUUUGUACUUGUUGCUCCCUCUGCUUAAAAUGCUCUUCCAGAUAUUGCUGUGAUUUGCUGUCUCAUUUAAUUGAGGUCUUAAGUAACUAUUUCUCAGAGAAGCCCGUCUUGAUUAUCUUCUCUUAUGUACCAUCCCCCAUGCUUCUCCCACGACUUGAUGGUGUGUUUUUAUUUGCUUAUUUCUGUCUGCUUCUAUUCCUAGACCAUAAACUCUAUGAGAACAGGGCCUUUCUUAUUUAACUAGAUUAGUAUUGGUACAUUGUAGAUACUCAAUAAAUGUUUGUUGAAUGACUGAAUAUAUCUAACAGAGAGGGAAAGCUUGACAUAGCUGAAAGAGGGGAUUAUUCCAGAUGAGGAGUGAAGGAAUACAAGGAUGAAAGAGAAUUGGCUUUCGAUGAGAGGAAGAACACCUCCUUCAUUGUAACUGGAAGGAAGAAGGAGAACAUAGAUGAAGAUACAGGGAGGCACAUAGAUUUGGGGGUAGGAAGAUGUAGUUCUGCCAAGAUUUCUGAUUUCCCAUUGAAAGUAAGCUCAUUAGCUAAAGGGAAGGGUUAGUGGGAAAUCCAAUUGAAUUCCCAUUUGAGGUAAGAUAAUUAUAUGUAGGAAAACUGUCUUACUCUAUUUUGUGUUGCUAUGAUAGAAUACCACAGACCAGGUAAUUUCUAAAGAAAAGAAAUGUAUUUCUUCCAGUUCUAGAGGCUGAGAAGUCCGGAGUGCCUGCAUUUGCUGAGGGCAUUCUUGCUGUGUCAUUCCAUGGUGGAAGGUGCAAGGGCAAGAGAGCAAGAGUAACAAGGGAAGGGGGCUGAACUCAUCCUUUUGAUCAGGAACCCACUAUCUUGAUAACUAAUCCACUCCUAUGAUAAUGACAUUAAUCCAUUCAUGAGGCCAGAGUCCACAUGACCCAAUCACCUUCUAAUUAUCUCACCUCUCAACACUUGCAGUGAAGAUUAAGUUUCCAAUACUUGAACUUUGGGGGACACAUUCAGACCAAAGCAGAAGGUAAUCAUAACUUUUAAGUGAAAGCAGUUAACUGGAUUUUAUAAUGUUCUCUCAGACAUUUGGCUGCUUCAGUCUAAUGACAGUUGGGAGAAAGUUGAGUUCAACUAUCCCAAAGCUGGGAUUUUUGCCAGUUUAAUUUUGGAAAAGGGGGGAAGGGUAAGGGGUUGAUGGUUUUUGAUGUUUGAGUAAUUUUGUUGGACUAUGAUUAGAUAAAGAGAGGAAAAAAGGCAGGGGACUGCUGGAUGGUUUAUUGGAACUCAAAUUGAAGUCAAGGAAUUAUAGUGGAAAUUCUUGAGCAAUUUCCACUAAAAUUCGUGAGCUGCAUGGAUAGGAGGUUGUAUUUGAAGUAUAUAUGGUUUAUUCUAGAUAUUGGAAUUGUUGCACAUUUUGGUGAUAAGGUCCUGAGUGUAAUCAUGAGAGUAAUGGCUAACUUGGACUGGAGGUCAGAAAAUGAAGUGGCCACCAGGGUGUUGACACGAUCAUCAUUGCGGCUAUUGAAGUCACCUAGAAUGAUGACUAGAGGGGUUCAGAAGAACAUUGAACCAGGAACUAAAGCCUUUCAGUGGGAGUGACCAGAAAGUGAGUAGCAGGCUGCAAAGACAUGUGAUAGCAGGCAGUGGAAGCUACUCAAAGGAAAAUAGAGGUUUUUACAAGAGGAAGAGAAAUACAUGGUUUGGAAAUGGAUGGGGGAGGGAAUUUGGUCAGGUUAGAGAGUUUACAGAAAAGGUUGGAGAUGAGAGUUUCAUUUACUUCUGUCAUGGAUGACAGUGUGGGAAAUCAGGACAUGUUCAGGCAGAGAUUGGCUGGAAGGUCAACCAACAAGGAGACAGUACAAUAGAUUCCAUUGUUUCCUGAGAGGUUGAAGGGGUGGCCCCUUUGUGGUUCCUUCUAGCUCUCAGAUUGUAAGGACCUCAACUUAUAUCAUUGUAUAUCAUCCAAUGGGAGGUUUGGAGGUUUGAAGGUGAAAUUUGAAUUUUUGCCUUAAUUAUCGGCAGUAACUCAACUGGUGUUGCAGGUCAGGAAUUUCCUAAGAUGGUAGGCAGAGGAUAAGACAUACAAUUAUUGGUUUCUGGAAGUAACUCUAGUGACUGUAAGGGUGUUAGGAGUGAGGAAGUUGUGUAGGUGUGGAUGGGGGUGGGAAGGGUUAGAGGUACAGAGCUAGCCUAAGAGAAUUUCAGUCUCUCACUCUAAAUUUCUCUGCCCUUUCCACUUCACUUUGCUGUCUCUCAUUCUAUUCUAAUUGUAGGAAGCCUCCAGGUAUGGUCACUUGUUCAUUCUGUCUCAAAUUGUAUAAUUAGUAUAGAAAGAGUGUUUUCAAGAGAAUAAUCAGAAGCUAGUCAUAUUUUUGCCACUCUUUCAUUUCGUGAUCUUAGGUAAAUUGCAUACCCCUAUAGGUUCCAGGUUCCCAUAAAAUAAAGAUUUUUAUUUUAUAAAAAGAAAACUGGCUGAUUCUUCAGUAUCCUUUUAGCUCCCUCUUUUUUUUUUUUUCCAGCUAACCCAGGCUGCCUUAGUCAGUGAACCUUGGAUAAUUACCAGGUGUGUUUAGCUCUGUACUGGGUCAGCCCUGGGGAUAUCGAGAUUAAACAAACUCAGCUUUUUUCCCUUGAGUUAUUCAUGACUUGGUGAGGACAACAAGCAUGGAUUAUAGUUGAUAUGAUAAAAUUUGGAAAUUGUUGCAUUGAAGUGCAUAUAAAAUGCUGUUACAUUUCAGGAAUAGCAGUAGUGGGAUCUCUUAAAUUUUGGGGAAAGAUAGAGGUGAGGGGCUUCUGUGAUGAUUUCAUAGAGGAAGUAAGUCAGGUUGGGCCUUGAGGAAUGAAUAGGAGUUUGCUUGGUAGACAAGUUGGGACAUUUUAGGCAGAGAAAACAGUAUAGGCAAAGGCAGGAACAUGAAAGCAUACUAAGCUGGAAUGACAUGUUUAGGGAAUAGUAGAGACAAAAAACUAGAAAGAUAGGUGGGAGAAGGGAACAAAUAUUUAUUGAACAUUUAUUUUGUGUCAGGCAGAAUGCUAGGUGCUUUUAUAUAUGCUUGUUAAUUCUCAUGAUAACUCUGUAAAGUAGGUGGUCUUAUUUGUGUUUUACAUAAAAGGAAACUGAUGAUCAGAAAGUAAAGUAGCUUUCCUAACAGCCCAGAAACAGCCAACAGGUUUUCUCCCUGCUGCUCUAGCAGUUGUUGCUAAACCAGAGCAAGUGGCCCAGGCUACAUAGUGGGAGUGUCUUUGACAUGUUAGAAGGACAUCCCUCAGCAAAUUCAAGACUGCAGCAUUCCAGUCCCCUGCCAAAGAAAACCUCCUGGCACAAUUUAAUUAAAGAUCAGAUUCUCAUAACCAGGCGUCAAGGGCAUACAGUACUCCCCAGUUCUGGAUGGAGUGUUGGUCAUGCCAGUUGCAGCUGCUCUGGGCUGUUGGGACUAAGAAGUGCAAUUAGUGUAUAGAACAGGUUUUAUUUCUUCUUCUUGAGGUAAUAUUAGAGCUUAUCUAGUCCAUUCCUUUGCCUCUAGAGUCAACAGUGUAGUGUGGUGUAGUGGUUCUGUCACCACACAGACCUAAUUUCAGGUUCCUGUCUCUACUGCCCACUAGCUGUACGACUCUGAGUGACUGGCAGCAUCUCUGAAACUUUACUUCUUCUGACUUGCUUACUGUUAUAUCUUCAGCAUGAAGUGCAUAGCUUGUCAAACAUUAGGUCAUGAAUAAAUAUUUGUACAAAUGAAUAAGAAAAAUGAUACCAAAUGGAUUUCCAAGUUUUCUGUAAACUACAAAGUGUGAUCUAAUGUUAGUGAUUAUUAAAAACAGCCCAAAUAAUGCUAAAAUCCUAGUUGUAAAAAUGGUUAGUCCUAAAGGUUUUCUGAGGAAAUGGUUUCUUAGAAUUUUAACAACUCUAUUAGGUAGUGUAGAGGACUCCCUUAAACUCCAGGUCUCAUUAUGUGACUUGGACUAAGUACUGGAAUUCAUUUAUCUUCUCUGGUGCUUAGUCCCAUUUUGUGAACUCAAGGCAUCAGUGAGUCCUCAGUACACAUGGGUAGCAGAUGGUCUCCUCCUCCAGGCAAUACCUCUUCUCAUUGUUAUCCCUCCACACCCUUGUUUUUUAUUUAAAAGCCCCAUCUUUUAUUUUUAACACGGGGCAUUUAUUGCGCAGUUCUAGAACUGCUUAGAAUGGACCAUUUUUCUGACUAGUGCUGUAUAUGGUGCAGAACAUAAAAGACCUGCUGUGAUCUGCACUGUCCCACUUUUCCAGUCUCCCACUUUAGUCCUUUAUGUUGCAUUCUGCCACACUGUACUCUCACAUUUAUGUUAUUCUGUGCUCUAGAUGCAUCACCUUUCUACAUGAAAAAUCACUCAUUUAUUGUUUCUUUUCUUUGGACCAAGCACUGUAUACCAAUGGCUGGACUUAUCCCAGACCAAUUAAAUCAACGACUCUGGAAGUAGAGUUCAAGCAUUAAUGUUUUCCCCCUCAACAUUUUAUUAGGAAAAAUUUCAAACACUGAAAGAACCUCAUAGUGAGUACUUGUGUACCCACCACCAAGAUUCUCCUACCAUUAACAUUUUCAUAUACUAACUUUAUCAUAUCUAUUAUAUAUUGACAUGUAUAUUAUAUCUGUAUGUUCCUUAAUCUUAUUUCUUAAAAUGCAUUUGAAAAUAAAUUGCAGAUAUUAAUAUACUUCUCCCUGAGUACUUCAGCACUGGUAUAAAACUUCAGCACCAGUGAUCUUUAAGAAGAAAGCUCAUAGGGGAUUCUAAUAGACUAGAGUUAAAGACCACUAGUCUGACCUUUUUGUUCUUUUUGUUCUGCUACUCUUAUUACCACCUCUUUUCUGAAACUUCACUGAUCAUUCAAAUUCAAUCUAACCUUUCUUUCCUUUGUGUUUGGACAUUUUACUCUUUGUAUUGUUCUACAGCACUAUUCACAAUUGGCCUAGCAUUAUGGUUUUCUAGGUCCUGCCCCUUGUUAGCUAGAUGAUGAUAGUCUCUAGAGUCAAGUUGUAUAUUAUUCAUUAUCUAUCUGUCUCUCUAUCUACCUAUCUGUCUUCUUUCAUCUAUUCUUGGUUUCUAGCAUAUAUAGCACCUUACGUAUAAAAGUGUAUUGAUUUUAACUGCACUUGAAUGAAGAACCUGCAACUGCAGCAAAAGGUGUACAUAACUUUCAGAUGUGUUUACUUCUGUAUUCUGUAUUUAUAAUUUUUUGAUUGGAGGAAUAAGAAUUCAUUUAUCUUCUCUUGUAUUUAGCUCAUGGUAGAUAUUUAGUAAAUGUCAGUCAAGUCCAGCUCAAAUGUGUGAAUAUAUUUUUAUAUUUGCCAUUGGCUAGAUUUGACUGAACUAAUCAUAAAUCAGAAGUAGCAGAACACAAAGGGGCUAGAAUUACCUCAAGAACAGUAUAGUUGGAAAAUUCUUUGGCAGAGAGUUUAAAGAUGAGGGCUGAUUUAAAAAAAAAAACAACUAAAAAUAAACUUACCAUAUGAUCGAGCAAUCCCACUACUGGGUAUCUACCCACAAGAAAGAUAUUGAAGAGAUAUCUGCACUCCUGUUUGUUGCAGCAGUGUUCACAAUAGCUAAGAUUUGAAAGCAAUCACAGUGUCCCUUUACAGACGAAAGGAUAAAGAAAAUGUGGUACAUAUGCACAGUGGAGUACUAUUCAAUCGCAAGAAAGAAUGAGAUCCUGUCAUUUGUAACAACAUGGAUGGAACUGGAGAUCAUUAUCUUAAGUGAAAUAAGCCAGGGACAGAAAGAUAAACAUCACAUGUUCUCACUUAUUUGUGGGUUCUAAAAAUUAAAACAAUUGAACUAAUGGACAUAGAUAAUAGAAGGAUGGUACCAGUGACUGGAAAGGGUAGUGGAGGGCUAGUGGGAAGGCAGGGAUGGUUAAUGGGUACAGAAAAAUAGAAAGAAUAAAUGAUACCUACUAUUUGAUAGCACAACAGGGUGACUAUAAUCAAUAAUAACUUGCACAUUUAAAAAUAACUAAAAGUAGAAUUGGAUUGUUUGUAACACAAAGGAUAAAUGCCUGAGGGGAUGAAUACCCCAUUCUCUAUGAUGUGAUUAUUUCACAUUGCAUGCCUGUGUCUAAAAUAUCUCAUGUAUUCUAUAAAUAUAUACACCUACUAUGUACCUACAAAAAAUUAAAAAUUAAGAAAAGAUGAGGUUUGAGUUUUGCUGGGAAGGAUAAGUAAAAUUUCUGCCAGUUUAAAGAAGGUUCUAUCUGUGUGAUCUUAGGUGAUUUCUUCUUGCACUCCAGACUUCAGCAUUUCUACUGUAACAAUAGGCAGUCAAGUUAGAUGACAUCCAAGGUUGCCUCUGGCUUUGAUGUUAGGUGCAUCUUAAAAUCUUUAACUUGGUUCUGUUUUAUACCAGUGACUAUAGAAUCCAAGGUAAUGAGUAGAAAGAAGUAGUUGUUGGUGAGCACAUUCCUUCCCUGAAUCCCUGUCUACUUUGAAUCAGUAUGUAAAGUACUUACACAUAGUGGCUGCUUAAAAAGUGUUUUCUUUACUUUCUUUCUACUGUAGCACUGUAUCGUUAUGCUUUUUAUAGCAUGUUUCAAAAGUGAUUGCACAAAUCACUUCCCCUCCUUGGUUGCCUCUUGACUAGUAUUAAGUCUAGAGACUGCAUAGUAAGAAAUAUCUAAUUACAGGCCAUAGACGAUGGGACUUCUGCAGAGGCCAUGGCUUAUAAAUGGCAGAGCUAGGACUUAAACCUGGGUCUCCUGACUUUAAUUCCAACCAUCUUUUAAAAUAUUGCCCUACCGAGCAACGCGGAGGAAACAGGAGUGAACCGAGAGCAUAGCGACCAACAUGAGCCUUCUUAACAAGCUGGAGAGCGAGAUGACCCCACAGGAGCUGCAGAAGCAAGAGGAGGAGGAAUUUAACAUGGGUCCACUCUGUGCACACCCAGUCCGUCAAGAAUAACACCCAAGAGCUCAUCAAUUGCAGCGACAAUAAGAAACUCCCGGGCCGUGUGAAGGCCUUCAACAGGCACUGCAACAUGGUGCUGGAGAACAUGAAAGACAUGUGGACUGAGGUACCCGAGAGCAGCAAGGGCAAGAAGAAGUCCAGGCCAGUCAGCAAAGACUGCUACAUCUCCAAGAUGUUCCUGCACGGGGACUCGGUUAUUGUGGUCCUGUGGAACCCCAUCUUCGGCAAGUAGGGGCCUCCUAUCCCUACCCAUCGACAGAACUCACUCCCCUAUCCUAUGGAGACCGCUGCCACUGGUGUUGAGAAUAACAAAGCUCUGCAUUUUUUUCUAAAAUAAAAUAAAAUAAAAUAAAAUAUUGCCCUACCUUUUGAAAUCUCACAGUGCUCUUGCCUUAAUUAUAGAGUCAUUCAGUUGAUUCAUAAUUAAUACUUCAAUAUAAUUAGUUGCUCAUCAAUUAUUAGGUUCCUGAGCCUCUGGGACAUUGGUAAAAUGUGAUCACUCUAUCUUUCUCUCUGUCUGUUGUAGUCAUUUUUUGUCCAGGAUGAAUAGAAGGGUGCUAUCUGAGCUGUCAUAAUGGUUGGCUUCAAGCCUAGCUUUAUAUUGCAGCAUGUUGGAGGCAUUGGUUUUUCAUUCUACCAAACCUUUGGUUUACAGAGACUAUUAGAAGAUUAAGGUAUAUUUGCUCUCCUUAUUCAAAAGUUGAGCAUGUUUCUAAUUUUGGAUCUGUUUUCCUGUAAACAAAGUUUAAAAUGGUAUAGGUUUAAAAAUGUGCUAAUUAUUAUGGUGAGUGUAGAUAUACAGAGUGACCAUUGAGGGGAUCAAUGAGUGUAAAAAGAGGAAAGAGAACCUAUAGGAAAGGGCUGGUUGGAGGACAGCAGGAAAACUGGAAAGUAGUAUAAAACCCUAAGUUAAGUAAGUUUAGAAGGAAGUAAUCAAGAAAGCACAAAAUUGUGUUCUGUGAGUACAGGUGAAGGUCCCGGAAAUGUUUGGCAUUGAGAAAAUACAUUUGGGGGGUCUUGAAAGAGUAUUUCAGGUAUUUAAAUUUCUGUCUGGGGAAGAGAUAGUGGUCUUUUCUGAAUAGCUCUAAGAUACAGGAUUUAGUACUAACAGAAGUAAGUUUUUUCUUUGUCUAUUCAUUUGUUUAUUCAACAAAUCUUUAUUGAUUACCUAUUCUGUACCAGGCCUAGUGUUGUGGAUCGAGAAAUACGUAGGACAUAAACUUUGUUCUUGAGAUGUUCAUAGUCUAAGUCUAGCAGGGAAGAGGGGUGAAAGGGAAAGCGCAUCUGUAAACAAUUUAUUGCAGUGCAGUGUAAGAGCUUAUUAUAAGUGAUAACUCAUUAACUGAGAUGAUCAAAGAUAGAAUAAGCAGUCUUUAGAGAUUUUAGAUUUCUUGUCCUUGCGACUUUUCAAGCAUACUCUGGAUGACCUAGGUUAGAAUGUAGUAAAAUAAUUCAAAUUAGAUUCCAACACAUAUUUUAGGUUUUAAGUAAUAAUGGAAUCUCUUUGAAAGUGAAGAUUUACCACAGAAUUCUCCAAUCAUAGUAAGAGGACUGAGAAAUGGAGAAAAGCCUGUAUCAGGAAGGUUGGCAAAACCUUUCUUGGCAUAAUCAUGGGCUGUGGGCCUGAAAUGAAGUUACAUUCAAUGAAGCUGUUGGUUGAAGGACCUGGGAGGCAAGGAAGGGCCUGACUAGGGUAUCAGGUGGCUGCAGGGAGUGUAAUUUUGGAACCGGCAGCCUGGAGUGGGAAGGUACACUUGAGAACUGAGACAGUAAAAGUUCUCUUUGGAGAGCUGAGGGACUUGAGUUACAGCUGGGAGGGAAAACAAAGGUAAAUCUGGGAAGUGAAACUGGAAGAAAUGGAUAAAAAGCACAUCACUCACAGAGUUAAUCUACAUUAACAAGAUUGUUUUUGCUUACUUGAUUUCUUUUGUUUAAAAAGAGAAGGAGCAGUUGGUUUGCGAAGGUGGGUCAGGAUGAAUUAUGCAAAGAAGUGGGGUUAGGGUUUGGCCUUGAUGGAUGAGUAAAAUUUUUAUCUGUCAGAGAAGGGAGAAAUCAUUGACAGACAGGAAGCACAUUGGGGUGUGUGUGUAUCUAUGUCUGUGUGCCUGUGUGUGUGUAUAAAUAAGAAUACUUCGCAAGUAAGAGGAACAGAUUUCUGAGGUGUGGUUUGAAUUAGGCUGUGCUAGGUGUAGUGACUUAGUUUUAAGGCAGGUAGAUGUCACAUAGUGAACAACCUUGAAUUUUAUCUGUGUUAAACUUCAUAAAGGCAAGAUAUAUAUCUCUAUGCAAAGUUUGAUUAAUUAAAAUAUUUGAGUUCACUGUGAGCUAGAUACUAUGUAAAGCAUUGUUGGAUCACAAAGAUGACAAAAUUGGGCCCAAUAUUUGAAGAACAUUCUGGAUCCUAGGGAAGACAUACCUGUAAACAGUUAUAACAGCAAUAAUAAAAAGGAUAACCUGGAAAGUUACCAUUGCUUUGGGAACAUGGAGGAGGGGGUACCUAACUUCUUAAAGUGAUGACACGUUUCCAAAUGGGUUCAUCAAAUAACAGUUGAAUUAAGCCUUGAAGGAUGAGUGAAUUAAUAGUUGGAAUACAGGGAAAUUGGUAUUCUAGGCAGCGGUAUCAGCAUGCACAAAGGGAUAGAAGUGUAAAAGCUAUGGGAUAUUUGAAGAAGUUAGAGAAGUUGGGUGUAGAUAGAGUAUAAGGGAAAUUAGAGGGAGUGGUAGUGGUGGGAAUGAGACUAAUGGGUGAGUUUGAUCAAAUAACAGAGGGCUCUAAAAGCAAGCCAAAAACUUGCUUUUGAGAUGUCGAUGAAGGGUUUUAAAAGUAGAAAAGUAGUAUGUUUUAAGAUUACUGACAGCCCCUGGAUAAAGGAUUAAGGAAAAAACUGGAUGUAGGGGGAAUCAGUUCUUUAUUCAUCAGAAAUUGUUAAAAAAAAAAAACCUCCUAUAGAUUUUAUUUAUAGUAUUUAAGUAAUUGAUAUCUGAAGCAGUAGUAUUCAAAUCUGAUUGGCAGUGGGAUCACUAAUUUUCCAAAUACAGAAUUUAGGCCUUAAUUUAGCCAUUCUGAAUCAAAGUUUACGGAGGAAAAACAGGAUAUCUAUAUUUCUGAAAGCUCUUGGUGA